rnacentral:tRNA from 1 species
GCAGUGGUGGUUCAGUGGUAGAAUUCUCACCUUCCAUGGGAGAAGCUUGGGUUCAAGCCCCACCCAAUGUG